CCCAACUGAGGAAAGUUCGUCGAAACUGGUAGGCUCGAGGGACACAGAGGGAGGUGGAACUCUCGGAGUAGCGGUGGAAUGCGCAGAUACCGAGAGGUACCUCGAUGGCGAAGGCAGCCUCCUGGGUGUCUCCUGACGCUGAAGCGCUAAGGCCAGGGGAGCGAAGGGGAUUAGAUACCCCCGUAGUCCUGGCUUCAAACGAUGUGAGCUAGGUAUCGGGCCGUAAUAAAUGGUUCGUUGCCGUAGCUAACGCGUUAAGCUCACCGCCUGGGGAUUACGUCCGCAAGGAUGAAACUCAAGGGAAUUGACGGGGGCCCACACAACCGGUGGAGCACGUGGUUUAAUUCGAUGAUAAGCGAAGAACCUUACCAGGAUUUGACAUGCCGGUAGUAGAACCCCGAAAGGGGAACGAGCCUGGACUCUGUCCAGGUAGCC
rnacentral:rRNA from 1 species